rnacentral:rRNA from 1 species
ACGCUGGCGGUAUGCUUAACACAUGCAAGUCGAACGGAAACGAUACUAGCUUGCUAGUAGGCGUCGAGUGGCGGACGGGUGAGUAACGCGUAGGAAUCUGCCUGAUAGUGGGGGAUAGCCCGAAGAAAUUCGGAUUAAUACCGCAUAAUCUAUUCGUAGUAAAGUGGGGGACUUUCGAGCCUCACGCUAUCAGAUGAGCCUGCGUAAGAUUAGCUAGUUGGUAGGGUAAAAGCCUACCAAGGCUACGAUCUUUAGCUGGUCUGAGAGGAUGAUCAGCCACAUCGGGACUGAGACACGGCCCGAACUCCUACGGGAGGCAGCAGUGGGGAAUAUUGGACAAUGGGGGCAACCCUGAUCCAGCAAUACCGCGUGUGUGAAGAAGGCCUGAGGGUUGUAAAGCACUUUCAAUUGGAAGAAAAGUUAACGGUUAAUAACCGUUAGCCCUGACGUUAACUUAGAAGAAGCACCGGCUAACUCC